CAAUAUGAAUUAUAAUUCUCAACUCUAGUGAUUGUACAUAGUUUUGUUAAUUACAGAGUUUCCUCCUAUGUUCAGUGAAGUUGAUUAAAAUCACUUGUAGACAUGAGAAUGCUCACACAAUCAAAUGCAAAUGAGAAAAGAGAAGUGUUGACAUGCUUGUGAGCAUUAUGCUAGACUGGCGUUUCUUCCAACGGUGGCUCAUUAUGUUCAUUCCUUGUGAUAGUAGUCAAUUUGGUGAAUUUCUUGGGAUGGCAGUAUAGAUUUUCCUGUUUAGGUAGAUCUCAGAGUAAGAUUCUCAGGAUAACAAGCCCCAGUUGUUAAGACUCUCAUCUCUUAUGUAUUUGCCUAAACCUAAAUACAAUGUGUGUUAAUUACUUUGUUGUUUUUCUUCCACAAUAAUACUGUCUUUCAUUAGUAAAUUAUAGAAGACAUAGUUAGUUUGGAUUAUGGUUCCAAAAGGAGGGCAGCAAGCCAUAGGCAUGGCAGCAUGAUCAAAAUGUUGAGGGAUAAGGGAUUUUUUUAAACAUAAAGAAAGGAUCCCACUAGAAAUAGAGGAAGGAUUUCAGCUCUCAGGACCAUCUUUGCUUAGCCCAUCCUUUCCCUAGCAAUGCUGUGUCUCCUAACUCUCCACAAAUAUCUCUACCAUCUGGGAGCCUAUUAUUCCGGUAAUGGAGCCUACAUCAUAGUAGUCAACAUCUAGGCCUUCAUAGACCUCACAGACAUAUGUUAAUACAAAAUGCCUCAAAGUCCUAAAGUAUUUCACAAUGCCAACACUGUUUAAAAUAUUCAAUAUCUUUGCUGAAAAACCCAAAGCAAUCUCUUAACUGAAACAUUCUGUGAACUCAAAAAAAAACACACACACAUUACAUACUUCCAACAUAUAAUGGUACAGAAUAUACAUUACUGUUCCAAAGGGAAGAGUGGACACAUAAUAAUGAAACACUGAACCAAAGCAAGACUGCAGUCAGUGGAGCAAAGGCCAAAUAUUUCAGCUUGUUGUCCAAUAACAAAAAGCAUUCUGUGACUCUGCUUGCCUAGACUUGCUACCUGUAAUAUAAAUCUUUCUCUUGGGUUGAUUCCAUUCUCUCUCUAUGGAGCUCUUCAUAAUAGAUAUGUCAUAGUUGCUGGCAUUCCAAUCAUCAUAGCAUCUCCCACUACAACACUGUAUUAAUUUUCUCAGCUUUAUCUAGUA
rnacentral:lncRNA from 1 species